rnacentral:rRNA from 1 species
GAGUUUGAUCUUGGCUCAGGAUGAACGCUGGCGGCGUGCCUAAUACAUGCAAGUCGAGCGAACAGAUAAGGAGCUUGCUCCUUUGAAGUUAGCGGCGGACGGGUGAGUAACACGUGGGUAACCUACCUAUAAGACUGGGGAUAACUUCGGGAAACCGGAGCUAAUACCGGAUAACAUUUAGAACCGCAUGGUUCUAAAGUGAAAGAUGGUUUUGCUAUCACUUAUAGAUGGACCCGCGCCGUAUUAGCUAGUUGGUAAGGUAACGGCUUACCAAGGCGACGAUACGUAGCCGACCUGAGAGGGUGAUCGGCCACACUGGAACUGAGACACGGUCCAGACUCCUACGGGAGGCAGCAGUAGGGAAUCUUCCGCAAUGGGCGAAAGCCUGACGGAGCAACGCCGCGUGAGUGAUGAAGGGUUUCGGCUCGUAAAACUCUGUUAUUAGGGAAGAACAAAUGUGUAAGUAACUGUGCACAUCUUGACGGUACCUAAUCAGAAAGCCACGGCUAACUACGUGCCAGCCGCCGCCGUAAG